CACGUAGGGGACGAGCGUUGUCCGGAUUCAUUGGGCGUAAAGGGCGCGUAGGCGGCAAGGCAAGUCGGGUGUGAAAGCUUGGGGCUUAACCCCGAAAGGGCACUCGAAACUGCCCUGCUAGAGGGCCGGAGAGGAGAUCGGAAUUCACGGUGUAGCAGUGAAAUGCGUAGAGCUCGUGAGGAAGACCGGUGGCGAAGGCGGAUCUCUGGACGGCCCCUGACGCUGAGGCGCGAAGGCUAGGGGAGCAAACGGG
rnacentral:rRNA from 1 species